AUUGAACGCUGGCGGCAGGCCUAACACAUGCAAGUCGAACGCGUGGCGGACGGGUGUGUAAUGUCUGGGACACUGCCUGAUGGAGGGGGAUAACCACUGGACACUGUCGCUAAUCCCGCAUACUAUCAUAUGUGCCCAGAUGGGAUUAGCUUGUUGGUGGGGUAACGGCGCACCAAGGCGACGAUCCCUAGCUGGUCUGAGAGGAUGACCAGCCACACUGGAACUGAGACACGGUCCAGACUCCUACGGGAGGCAGCAGUGGGGAAUAUUGCACAAUGGGCGCAAGCCUGAUGCAGCCAUGCCGCGUGUAUGAAGAAGGCCUUCGGGUUGUAAAGUACUUUCAGCGGGGAGGCGUUACCCGCAGAAGAAGCACCGGCUAACUCCGUGCCAGCCGCCGCGGUAAUAC
rnacentral:rRNA from 1 species